CCCACCCAGCAGUUCUGCUGACUGGUGAAACAGGUUUAUCCCAACUUAGCUCUUCAGGAGGCCAAGUGAAUGACUGCACACAAGAUUAGUGGUUGUAAACCUUGAUUCCUCCAGGCAGCUGAUGAGCACUAGUCCAAAGGAGAAGCUCCACCUUCUCCACGUAUUCCUUUGACAUAUUAAGGCUUGGUUUGAGCACUGCUUCUUUACCAUGGCUCUGCACAUGCACAUACUGGAAAAGUUUCAAUAUGUAGUGGGACCAUUUCACCAGGAGCUCCCUGCUCUUCCUCCCACCUGAGAACACCUGCACUCCCCAGCCUGCAGCUCUCCUAUGGCCUACUUCUGCCCAAGGGACUGAGGCGUAUCUGUCCUUACAGCAGGACAUGCACUGCUGUAGGUAUUUUAUUCAAAUCUAGUGUCUCCUCUAACAAGCAAACAACAUAAAAUGGAAAACCCAGCAGUUUUCUGACUGUCUCAAGCUAUGAUCCUCAUGGGACAUAAUCGCUUCAGUUGAAAGAGUAACAUUAAGAAAUGAGGUAUCAGACUCAUGAUUCAUGAACUGGGCUUUAAACACUUUGUGAUGAUACCACGCGUCCUCCAAUCACUUUUCUGCCCACAAAGCCAGAAAAGAGAUCCAGGCCUCUACUGAACAUUUGAAAGACACAGAACUUAAGCCACCCCUGGGAACCCAUCACUGUUUUUUUCUAUCUUAGAAAUAAUUUAUGAUGAUGUAAUUUUGUAAGCAUGUCAGCAUAUGACAUUGGCUUGUUCUACAUCAGGAACGUGAGAUCUUAGCUAUGGUAAAUCUGAAAGGAAAGGUACAUCUGAAAGGUAAGGGCUAUCCCAACCAACAGGGUAACACACUUACGGAAAUGGCCUUUGGGGAUCACUGCAUACCGCUACUCAUGCCAAGUUAGAAAGAAACCCACAAAGCCCUGUG
rnacentral:lncRNA from 1 species